CCUACGGGAGGCAGCAGUGAGGAAUAUUGGUCAAUGGGCGUAAGCCUGAACCAGCCAAGUCGCGUGAGGGAUGAAGGUUCUAUGGAUCGUAAACCUCUUUUAUCAGGGAAUAAAGUGUGGGACGUGUCCUAUUUUGGAUGUACCUUAUGAAUAAGGAUCGGCUUACUCCGUGCCAGCAGCCGCGGUAAUACGGAGGAUCCGAGCGUUAUCCGGAUUUAUUGGGGUUAAAGGGUGCGUAGGGGGCCUUUUAAGUCAGCGGUGAAAGUUUGUGGCUCAACCAUAGACUUGCCGUUGAAACUGGGGGGCUUGAGUAUGUUUGAGGCAGGCGGAAUGCGUGGGGUAGCGGUGAAAUGCUUAGAUAUCACGCAGAACCCCGAUUGCGAAGGCAGCCUGCCAAGCCAUGACUGACGCUGAUGCACGAAAGCGUGGGGAUCGAACAGGAUUAGAUACCCUGGUAGUC
rnacentral:rRNA from 1 species